CUGUCUAGGCAAAACCCUUAUCAAACUACAAGUCUCUGUGGAGAGGGGGAGGGUGAAACUGCGGCAGAGAUUUUGCCCACCUUCUCCAUCUGGAAGAGUUUCGGGACCCCGAGAGGGGCAGCCGAAGAGGGUCCCAAGAGACCUGUAGAACAUGGAGGGUGGGUGAGCGGUCAGGGGCCUGAGGAAGUGAAGCUCUGACCUCCCAGCAUUCUGGUUUGUGACGUCAUCACUUUAGAUCUCAGCUCUGUCACUGACAGCUCGGAAGGCACUGCAGCUUACCUUAGAACCAUGGGGACCGAAAGGGACCGCCAUUCUUCCCAGCACUACAUCCCUACCCCCCUCAUGCUUCACCCCUCCUCCCUGCCUCCCUCACGCAGGACUCCACAGACAAAAGUACCUGUACGGUGUCACAAGCUGUGUGUGUCAUCAGACACAUGGACACAAGUAUGUCAUUGAGCAGUACAAUGUUAGCUAGAACGUAGCCAGUUGGUGUCUUUUUGAGACAAUUUAUUGCACAAUGUCAUGGGGGACAUGAUUCACACAGUUUCUAAGUUCUCUCCACUCCUACACCCUGGCUUCCUGCCCACUGACUCAGGGUAUAGUGAUUGGCUUACCUCAGUCAAAAGAAGGGGACUUGUACAGGACAGACCCCGGCCAGCCAGAGGCCUUCCAUACCUGCACUCAAGCACUCUAUCUAGUGCUGGAUUCUUGGACUUCUGACUUGCCUUGCUGGUGAGAUGGCUUAUGGGGUGAGAGCACUUGCCAGCAUGCCUGACGACUGGAGCCUGAUCCUCAGAACCAGUGUGGUGGAAGAACUGACUCCUGUAAGUUGUCUUCUGGUCACUACACUUGUGCUGGGACAUGGGUGCAACCAUGUCAACCCCCUCUCACACACAA